UCGGUGUCAUUUUCUGAAUUUGGUAAGGUGUAUUCUUUUUCUUUGGCAAACAGAGAAGGCAGGAGGAGGAGGAAGCUGAGAGGGAGAGGGCGUGGAGAUCUCGGUCUGCACAUUGCGUCUCCCACAAGCUACUGCGGCGGGAGAAUCCUAUACCCAACAUCCUUCUCAAAGCCUGCAGCUACUGCCUCCCCAAGCAAUGCCAACCUGUAGCAACAAGGGUUCAGAUUUUAAGAUCUCCAGUGAGCUUCCAUAGGAUUGGCAGGAGAGGAGGAGCAGAGCUGACCAACUCUGCUCAAGAUCACCUUUCUACAACAAUGUAAGCAGCUUCCCUUACGAGGUGUACCACGAGAUCAUACUGUACACGAGUGCUUUGGAGAAAAAAUUCCAUCGUUGUGCUACUGAACCUUGAGGAGCGCCGGGGAGAGAACCCAUUGGAUGCAGAAGCGUGAAGGAGUCCAUACAGUGCAGGCUGGUCAACCGUGAGGUUAGUAGCAUGCAAACUACUGGCUAGCUCUUGUGAUAAGUGAUACGUUUCAGUUAACUCCUUGUUCAUGCAAGCUAAUCUAACGGAUUACUUGCUAGCUACAUAUAUAUGACUUGUGUACACAUAGUCUGGAUGUUAUGUAUGGGAAAAUGAAAUAAAACAAUAUAU